UAUGUAUGUUGAGUCUCUACUGUCCCCUGGCUCUAGUCUGUGUUUCUGGGCUGGAAACUGGGUCCAAACUCGGCUCAAAAUCGCCCCCAGCAUUUUCUGCAACUUCUGCAGAUUGCGCAUGUCACGCGUGAGUCACUGGUCAUCUUCGCGUAUCACGCGUACGCGUCAGGCACGCACACGCGUCGUCUUGCAGAACUCCAAUCCACGCGUACGCGUCAGGUACGCGCACGCGUCGCUGUAAAAAUCUCCAUAUCACGCGCACGCGUGAGCCAUGCGUGCGCGUCGAUGCUCGUUGGUUGGCUCCUUUAUUUCUUGUGCUCCUUCCAUUUCUGCAAGCUUCCUCUCCAUCCUUUAAGUCAUUCCUGCCCUAUAAAGCCUGAAAACACUGAGCACACAGAUCACGGCAUUGAAUGGUAUAAAGGGGAAUUAAAAUGUACAAAUUUAAGGUUUAGGAAGCAAGUUUUUAACCAUAGGAUAAAACUAGGAAGGAAUUGUAAAACCAUGCAAUUUUUAUGAAUAAGUAUGCAAAGACUUGAUAAAAACCACUCAAUUGAGCACAAGAUAAACCAUAAAAUAGUGGAUUAUCACUUUUCAACACAUUACAUACACCAAUGUUUUUCCUAGGAUCUACCCAAUCUUAUCUGGGACAAAUCCAUAUUCUAACCUAAUCUGAACUUGACUAGACCUCAAUCUAGUUUUCAACAGCAAAGUGCUAACCCAACUUACCAGGGAAUCCCUACCUCUGAGACAUCUUAUGGCUUUUUUUCAUAGUUUAUCUCACUGCCUUUUACCUCUCAUUGGCUUUUUCUUACAAACCUCACUGUGUUAAUCUUUUUCAAUGAGACUCAGACAAACUAAACUGAGAAAAAGGAAAUACUAAAUGAACAACAUGAAGGAGAAGAACUCAAUCAACUUGGGUAGCUAUGAGAAUUGAAUUCUGUGCUUUUUACUUACUUUCUUUCCCUUC
rnacentral:lncRNA from 1 species